ACUUAAGUAGCUUAUAAAAGAGCAUGACAUUGAAGCUGUUAGGGAGGUUAAUUUAACCCUUAAGUA
rnacentral:tRNA from 1 species